UACCGAGGGUGCGAGCGUUAAUCGGAAUUACUGGGCGUAAAGCGCGCGUAGGCUGCUUUUCAAGUCGAUUGUGAAAUCCCCGGGCUUAACCUGGGAACUGCAGUCGAGACUGUCUGGCUAGAGUAUGGGAGAGGGAAGUGGAAUUUCAGGUGUAGCGGUGAAAUGCGUAGAUAUCUGAAGGAACAUCAGUGGCGAAAGCGACUUCCUGGACCAAUACUGACGCUCAUGUGCGAAAGCGUGGGGAGCAAACAGG
rnacentral:rRNA from 1 species